AGAGUUUGAUCAUGGCUCAGGAUGAACGCUAGCGAUAGGCCUAACACAUGCAAGUCGAGGGGCAGCACAUGAAGUAGCAAUACGGAUGGUGGCGACCGGCGCACGGGUGAGUAACGCGUAUGCAACCUGCCUACAACAGGGGAAUAACCCGUUGAAAGACGGACUAAUACCCCAUAACACAGGGAUCCCGCAUGGGAAUAUUUGUUAAAGAUUUAUCGGUUGUAGAUGGGCAUGCGUUCCAUUAGCUGGUUGGUGAGGUAACGGCUCACCAAGGCAACGAUGGAUAGGGGAACUGAGAGGUUUAUCCCCCACACUGGUACUGAGACACGGACCAGACUCCUACGGGAGGCAGCAGUGAGGAAUAUUAGUCAAUGGACGCAAGUCUGAACCAGCCACGUCGCGUGAAGGAAGACGGCCCUACGGGUUGUAAACUUCUUUUGUAAGGGAAUAAAGUGUAGUACGUGUACUAUUUUGCAUGUACCUUACGAAUAAGGAUCGGCUAACUCCGUGCCAGCAGCCGCGGUAAUACGGAGGAUCCGAGCGUUAUCCGGAUUUAUUGGGUUUAAAGGGUGCGCAGGCGGGAGAUUAAGUCGGCGGUGAAAUUUUGCAGCUCAACUGUAAAAGUGCCUUCGAAACUGGUUUUCUUGAGUGUGGAUGAAGUAGGCGGAAUUUGUGGUGUAGCGGUGAAAUGCAUAGAUAUCACGAGGAACUCCGAUUGCGCAGGCAGCUUACUAAACCAUAACUGACGCUCAGGCACGAAGGCGUGGGGAUCAAACAGGAUUAGAUACCCUGGUAGUC
rnacentral:rRNA from 1 species